rnacentral:lncRNA from 10 species
UCUGUUCCUUACAAGACGGACUUGUCUGUUAUUGAAGCAAGAAUUCCCUGAUAGAAGGAACCAUGGCUGUUUUGUUCAUAGCUGAAGGCCAAGGAGAGUUAUAACCCUGUUCCUGAGACUUAGAACAGUAUCUGGCCUAUGGUUUCUGAGGCCCUACUAUGUGUACAGCACAGUGGUGGACUCUUGAGGGACACGAAGAUGACUAAGACACAGUCGCAGCCUUUCAGCAGCUUCUAAUCCAUUAGGGGAUAUGAGGCAAGUGUACCGCGACCACCACACCAGGACUCAGGUGCAGAUUGCACACCUGAAGGGAAGUGAGGUUGGAGCUGCAAGAGGUGUCACUGUCGGUGAGCAAAGCUAGAAGAGUUUGCCACUUGACAGAAAGAGAAUUUUAGGUGGGUCUUCCAGGACAUGGUGGAUUUUGAACCAUGGGUAUUAGGAAGGGGGCUCGUCUGGUGACGGAGUUUUUACAGUAAAGCCAGGAAGUCACACCCCUGGAGCUCUCCUUCGGUAACAGCUAGUUUCCAAUUUGCCUAUCAUGCAUGCUCUGUAAUGGAGGGCAUGGGAAGAUCAUGCAGUUUGAAAGCCCCAAAUACAAGAAUGUGAAAAUAUAAUAUAUUUGAUAG